GACGGAGGAUGCAAGCGUUAUCCGGAAUUAUUGGGCGUAAAGCGUACGCAGGUGGCUUGACAAGUCUUUUGUUAAAGCGCGAGGCUUAACCUCGUAAAGGCAGAGGAAACUGUUGAGCUAGAGUAUGGUAGGGGCAGGAGGAAUUCCCGGUGUAGCGGUGAAAUGCGUAGAUAUCGGGAAGAACACCAGCGGCGAAAGCGUCCUGCCAAGCCAAAACUGACACUCAUGUACGAAAGCUAGGGGAGCGAAUGGG
rnacentral:rRNA from 1 species